UACGGAGGGAGCUAGCGUUGUUCGGAAUUACUGGGCGUAAAGCGCACGUAGGCGGCUACUCAAGUCGGGGGUGAAAGCCCGGGGCUCAACCCCGGAACUGCCCUCGAAACUAGGUAGCUAGAAUCUUGGAGAGGCGAGUGGAAUUCCGAGUGUAGAGGUGAAAUUCGUAGAUAUUCGGAAGAACACCAGUGGCGAAGGCGACUCGCUGGACAAGUAUUGACGCUGAGGUGCGAAAGCGUGGGGAGCAAACAGG
rnacentral:rRNA from 2 species